GGCGGCGAGACGGGGGCCGCCCCAGCGGAACGGCCGCGGGGAGCCGGGCGCGGGGCGGCCUCGCCGCGCCGGGGGUCGUCGGCCCCGGGAAGGGCUCGGUACGCCCGUAGGCCGGGCUUCGUGUCCGGCUGAGCCCCUGUGCUCCCAGUGCUGCGCUGGGGCCGUUCGCUGUUGGGGCAGACGGCCGGUUUGUGCUCGCUGCUGAACGGUCUUCCUCUCUUGUUUAUAAAACCUAACGAGGCCCAUCGUAAGAGAUGUGGGUAGUGAAGGUUGGCUCUGAUGCACUGCGUUAGGUGCCGGGCCAGUUCCCAAGGUAGCACUUUCAGUUCUCCCAGUCCCAUGCUGCUAGGACAAGGGAGGGGGACCGAAACGUGAGGCGACUGAGGAUCCCAUCCUGACGAAGUGUGAGGGGUGGAGACAGAGUGGGUCAGGGGAACAGAGUCUGCUUCUGUGACAUCAACACAGCGGCAGUGGCACGGCAGGGCCUUGGCAACGCCGGGCAGCCCUGCUGCUGUCUGUCUGUCAGGCUUGGUCAGAAUCACAGACGUGACACACGAUGCGUUUGCAGUUAGACUGAAUGCUGACAAGGCAGAGUGGCUGACUUUACCCUCUGAUGCGUGCCUGGAGUGCUGCUGAAAAGAUGCUCUCAAAAUACAUGUCAAGGACAGCAAAAUAAAUAGGAUCUUGACCCCUGAAGUCA
rnacentral:lncRNA from 1 species